CCAAAUUCAGAAAUUUUGAUUGAAAAUUCAGACUUUCUUGUUUUAAAAAUUUUCAUUGUUACAUAUUGCUCCCUCUUAAGUGAAUAUUAUCUCUUCCUAUAUUUUUCAAACUUAUUUCUCUCUCUAUAUUGCAACUUCUUUCUUUUCUUACUUCUCCCCCUUUUUGUUAUCAUCAAACGAGUGUAUAGCAAUAGAUAAGUAGAAGCAGUAAAUGAUAAAAAUUCAAAUUUCAUUGAUCAAAAUGGAACAUUGUAGUACAUUAAUGCCAAAAGUACAAUGUUCUUCAAUUAAGGUGCAAAGUACAUCAACCAAGUAAAAUAUGUAUGAGAACUAGAUAAAUCCUAGGUACUAGUCAUGAUAGACUCAUGUAGUGCUAACAUCGGACCUAGGGGGAAUCUAAUGGCUGUGAUCUAGUCCUCAUCCUCCUAGCAUAAGUGGCGAGGGAAGGUCGAGUCUGAUGGGACUGAGUUUGGCGUGGACCUUGGUGAGCUGGGUGACUCUGUGCCGAAACCUCCGACUCAACUGCUCGGGGCACAGAUGGACCAUGAGCCUCUCUCUCUCUCUGUAAUGCUCCCACCUGGUCUCUGAGAUCUCUAAUCUCAGCAGUCAUAAUAUCCACCCUGCUUAUCAUCCCAUCAGAGAGUCCUCACCUGAGCUGACACAAGCUCAGUCAUCCUACUCCAAAACUCCUCUCUACAUCCUGUAGGUAUGG
rnacentral:lncRNA from 1 species